rnacentral:rRNA from 1 species
GAGUUCCUACGGGAGGCAGCAGUGGGGGAUAUUGCACAAUGGGGGAAACCCUGAUGCAGCGACGCCGCGUGAGCGAUGAAGUAUUUCGGUAUGUAAAGCCCUGUCAGCAGGGAAGAAAAUGACGGUACCUGACUAAGAAGCCCCGGCUAACUACGUGCCAGCAGCCGCGGUAAUACGUAGGGGGCAAGCGUUAUCCGGAUUUACUGGGUGUAAAGGGAGCGUAGACGGCGGUGCAAGUCUGAAGUGAAAGGCAAGGGCUCAACCUUUGGACUGCUUUGGAAACUGUGCUGCUAGAGGGUCGGAGG